rnacentral:rRNA from 1 species
UACGAAGGGGGGCUAGCGUUGCUCGGAAUCACUGGGCGUAAAGCGCACGUAGGCGGCUUUUUAAGUCAGGGGUGAAAUCCUGGAGCUCAACUCCAGAACUGCCUUUGAUACUGAGAAGCUUGAGUUCGGGAGAGGUGAGUGGAACUGCGAGUGUAGAGGUGAAAUUCGUAGAUAUUCGCAAGAACACCAGUGGCGAAGGCGGCUCACUGGCCCGGUACUGACGCUGAGGUGCGAAAGCGUGGGGAGCA